AAUAAGUAAUUAAAAAAUAAGUAAAUUAUUAUGAUAGUAGAAGUUAAAAAAUUGUGUUAAAAUUAAUUAAUAGUAGAAAUUAAAGAAAUAGUGUUAAAAUUAAGUAAAAAUCAAUUGAAGGGGAAAGUUAAUGUUUAUAUAAAAUCAGUGAAAGAAUUAAAAAAUAAAAAUAAAAAGUUAGAGAAAAAUGUGAAGUUAGUGUAAAAAAUAAUAAUAAUAUUAAAAAUAAAUAACAAUACAAAAUUCAGUGUUUAUCAUUUUCUAAGCAAAUUAAAAUAAUUAAUAAUCAGUAAAAUUAAAUAUUACGUGAAAUAUUGCUUAUUUAUUUGUAGCUGCCCAGUUUGUAUAAAACUCAACGCCUUCGUAAGGUUCGUUUCAAGAUCAUGUUCAUGGCCUUUCCAAUGAAAAAUUCGCGCGUCUAAAAGUCUUACGAAAAAUUUUUCACCAUUGAAAAAGGAUAUGAAAAUGGAAAUGGCAAAGCAUGCAAAUUGGCAAGUCAUGAAAUAUAACAUUCACUGCCUCAACCCUUCAACCCCGAUUAGUGUGAGUGAAGCACAAUCCACUUAUGUCCAAUAUAAUUUUCGUUCGUAGCGUUGGUGUGGGUUGAAAGUCCUUACAAUCUGCGCUGUUUGUCUACAAUAUUUCGCUCACACUACGCCAGAUGUCACGCAAUGUAACACCACCUCCUACCACUACUAGUAUAGCUGGGGCUAUUCUAAAUGUCGCUGGCUCUCCUUCGUCUAUGCGCUUUGACACAAUAUUCGCAGUCAUUAGACGCAACUGCUGUAGACAAGUAAGUGCAAAUGAAGAAAACGUAAAAUCUAAAACUAGCAUGCGAUAAAAAUGUACAACUGCCACUACACGCGCAAGAAUUUUCGUUGAAACAUUUGUUUUGCUUUUUUUUUCAGUACGCUAUAAAUGCAAUGAAGUAAAAUUUUACUACUUAAAAUUCCAGUCACAUAAAAUCCUUUAGUUCUUAUCAGCUAAUCGAACAAUUGAAGCAUUUUAUUUUACUACCUUUCUCAUGCAGCACACACACACACAGACACAAAGAGGUUUAUUUCAACCCAUCUAUGUUAUAGUGUUUGCCAUUUAAGUGAACACAACCAUCUCUCCACCAACAAACAUUCCGGUCACUGCAUGCGCUUCACCGCCCAGCUAACUAUAUACGAGCGUUUUACAACAACAACACUUUUACACACUUUAGGUGCUGACCAUUAACUCCACCUGGACAUUUUUACAAACACGCGCAAACACUUUGUUGUAUGUAGGUGU